AAACUUCCAGGUAAUAAGGUUCCUUUAGCAUGGAGAUGAAUAUAUUUGCCACCCUAUGUAAACCAGGUGUCAUCUUGCACCAUUUCUUAUUUAAUACAUUAAUUUUUUGAGCUUUAGUAUCUUAUUCUCAUUACCUGCCAUCUUAUAUCAUAAUGCGAUUGCUACAACAAUUCAUGGAAAACUAAUCAAUUGUUGUAGUGGUAAUGGCUGCUGAAGCUCAUUAGUAUCACUUAUAAACUAAUAACAGAAUCUUUGAUCUUUUAGAAAAGUAGGGGAAAAAAGCUCCUGCUAAGGUAGCUGGCAAAGGCAAGGCUAAAGGUGGAAGAACCGUUGUCUAAUAUAAAUGAUCUCUUCAAGACAGUUACUGGUGAAACGCAGAUCACCAUAUUUGCGAUUUGCGAUAUAAAGAAGGCAGAACCCAUGACCCACGAUUGCUGGUCGGAGAUGAAGUUUUCCUCUAAAGCAUUCUAAACUCUACCGAGACUGUAGCAAGAGGAAGGGUCCAAAGCUUGGACCCAAAUGAUCUAAUUGGUGGUAUAGAGAUUGGACCAGAAUGGUGUGAGGUAAAUGUUCAAGUACCAAUAAAAAAAGAUGUAAACUUGGUAAGACCAUAUGGUUUAUUUUCUACAAUUCAAGAUUGUAUUGGUGCAUCCUUCGCAUAGCCCUAUCCAUUCAUCUCGGUAGUCCAUGAGGAUUGAGGACGCAUGAUGACUCAAGAUUUUAUGCUUCUUAUUUCUUUAAUUGCUUUUAAUUUCUUUGUUAAAUGUUAAGACUUUAUGUUAGAUAAUGUUAUAACUUAUUUCUGGUUAGUGUUUUUGUUGUGAACAUGCUUAUUUGAAAUAUAAUGAAGUUUUAUUUCUU
rnacentral:lncRNA from 1 species